rnacentral:lncRNA from 1 species
CUUCCAUCAACUCUUCUCGGCCUUCCUUCUCCUUGUUUCCAGCAUUGCCCCAGCUCUUGGAACUGGGCAUCAGCAGUUCUAGGAAACGCUGCUCCUGAGUCAGGUUGCUCUGAGCGUCCGCUUCCUGCUAGCAAGUCACACAGAACAGAGCUCAGAGGCGAGGCUCCGGGUCAGCCUGCCUGGGCUCGGGCUCAGCUCUGCCGCUUCUAGCUGUGUCAUCUGGAACUUUCCUGAACUUUGGUUUCCUCACCUCCCAGAUGGCACACGGAAUUAAUCAUCCACGUGCUACCUAGAGUAACAAUAAGAUGAGCAACGUGAGGCUCAGAGAAGUACCAUAACGUGCCAAGUUCCUGUGGCUGACAAGCAGCAGAGCCAGGCUUUGAAGCCGGGUGGCUGUCUCCAGAGCAC